rnacentral:rRNA from 1 species
CCCUAGUAUAAGAAAUUUAUAGAAUUAGUAUAUAUAGAAAUUUAAAAUUUUUGGCGGUAAAUUAUUAAUUAGAGGAGCUUGUUAAAUAAUAGAAUUUACUCUUUAUAUUUAAAUAAUUUUUGUUUAUUUAUCUCCGUUAUUAAAUGAAAAUUGGAUCAAGGAUAAUCUUAUAUUUCAGGUCAAGAUGUAGCAAAAAUUAUGUUAAAUUAGCUACAAUUAGGGAAUAAUGAAUUUUUUAUUUGUAAUAAAAAAUGAAAUUGAAUUUAACUGUAAUAUUUUUUAGAAAAAAAAUAUGGAAAUGUGUAAUUUAUGUA